CGCCGCCAUCUUUGCUACGGAAAGGCGCAAAGUACGUUGGAUUGAGGCGGAGAGACCCAGCCAAUGAGCGGCCUCUAGAGUAGGAGGGGUUCCGGAUGUUGAGGAACUACAAACUUCCGUCACCCCCAGCUCCAAUUUAUUGUGGUUCCGGAAGAUGGGAGUUGUAUUUCAUCAGCCUCUGGAGUACCACUGAUUGGGAAGCCCUGAUAGACUACAACUCCCAUCAGCAGCAGCCCCUUCCCCUUUUAAAUCUUAGGAAGCGUUACAAAACCUUUAUUAGCACCACCAACCGAAGGGAUAUUCCGUCUUAAGCUUUCAAGUGCUCCAGAAGUUAUAAUGAGGCUGGAUGUUAUACACCUCUAAAAGGGUGCCGUGAAAUGGGGUGCUUGGGUGUAGGGAGGGAAGCCUUGAGUUUGCGGCUUAUAAGGAGCCGAGACGGAGCUAAGCAGACGAGCUGAUCAACCCUACGAGAUGUUACUGAUCGCUCUUGGAGGAAGAGGGAACGUCGCUUCCCCUCCAGUUUUCCGCCCAUAACUGGCCCUUUUGUUUGGGGCAGUCUUUCCUGAUCCCUCGCUGUUCACUUCCGAACACACAGCUGCUAGGCUUGAGUGCCCAGGCUAAUUAUAAUAUAAUUAAUAUAAUAAACUUUAUUUGUCGCCCCAUAACAGAUUGUUCUCUGGGCGGCUAGCCAACCUAUCCACGUCUUCUCCCUGUUUUGGCCUUUUGACCGCAAUGAGUCUACUGCUGCUACUAAAUCGUAAUUGCAGUAGGAUUAUCUUUGUUCUUUUCCUACCCAGUACAUCAUCCCUCUUUCCGCCACUCCCCCUUUGUCAUAUGAGGCGAGAGGCACAGGGUGGUGUGGGAAGCUCAGGGAGAAAAAGGCUCCCUGUGUCACCGUCAGAUCUCCCUUUUAAACAGAUUGGAUGACAUACACAGUUAUUAGCCCACAGAGCUAAUCUCCUCUUUGAUUUAUUGUUCUCCUGAAUAGAGAAUAGCUAGACACUCCUAGGAACCCUGAAACGCUCCUCCAGAUAUAGAAACCAGCCCAUCUGAUUUAUAGCUGCUUCCUUCAUAGACACAAGGAAAUCGUUAUGUACUAGCUUAACCCGCACAGAGCAUCUGUGCGUUAGUACUUGAUUGCUCCCCUCACCCCCUGCCACAGCCCCCUUCACCUCAGAGAUCUCUCCACCCUCACCUGAGCCACACUCCUGCUCCUCCUCCUACAUCCCAUUGCUUCCACCCUCCUCACCCCUCUUGGUCACCCCUCCAUCCCUUUACUCCAUCCUCCUCACCCCGCUUGCAGCAUGGCUGGUGCCUGUUGGCCAAGCUGCAGCCCCCGCUCCUAUCCCCAGAGACCUCCCCACACGAGCCCCGCUUCUGCUCCUCCCCACAGGAGCAGCAGCAGCAGUUGACUGGGCUCUUCCUUGCUGCCACCACCGCCAUGGCCACUUGUUCCCCUCAGACUGCUGACAGGCCUGGGCCCAUCCCUUGCCUGCCUCCUUCUGCCAAUGGCCUCUGUAGCCCCAAACAGCAGAAGUGGUUGACUGGGCCCUUCCUUGCUGCCACCAUCACGGCCACUCGUUCCCCUCAGGCCACUGACAGGCUCGGGCCCGUCCCUCGCCCUCCUUUCUUCCUCUCUUCCUCUCUCCUCCACUCGCUCUUCCCCUUUGACUUUCUUCCCCUCCCUGAGUUAACAGAUCUUGUUCAUUUUGUUUCCUCAUCAAAUUCACAUAACCGCCACCUCCUUCUCCUGAAGGGGCUCUUUCCUCCCUCACAACCCUUCUCUUUGCAGACCCCUGCCCACUAUCCUAUUGUAUAUAUAGAUUCCUCUCUACAAUCAAGAACAUCUUCUGACCAGUAACAGUUGCAUUCCAAAUGACCUUAACCAUCACAGGCUCCUCCUCCCUAUCUGCAUAUGGAAUCCCCACUACCCAGUCACCACGGUGCCACAGGCUCCUCCCCCAUAUCUGAAUAACUCUGCCCAAUCACCAUGUUGCUUCUGCUCUCACAGGCUCCCCCUCCCUAUCUGCAUAUGGAAUCCUUACUGCCCAAUCAGGUGCUUCUGCUCACGAACUCUGGAGAGAGCUGCCAAACACAGGAUUAAUCAUGGGUGGAGGUCUGCCACAUCCUGUGCUUGCUGGUGAGCAGCAAGUGGAAGGUUGUAAACAACAUACUAAAUGCAAGCACGAAAUUUUCAUUAUUUCCCCAGCAGUCUAAUUUGUGAAGAAUGGCACAAAGAUCAUGGAGUGAUGAAUUGGAGCCUCCUCAGCGUUUGGAACGGAAGAGAGACUUGUUCAUGUGCCUAGCUCUUCAUAUGGAGAAGUCUCCAAUGUGCGUUGAUGAUCCAGAAGGAAAAUUCAACAAAACUGGGAUUGUAGUGUGUGAGUCAGACAAAUUACACAAAGUGGUGGUAAUGUGCUGUUCAACAGAAACCUUACAUGCUGUGCAACAAGUCAUAGUGAACAAUCACACCACUUUACACAAAUGUGUGAUCUAUUUAUCCAGAAAACCUUGCUCUGAAUGUACCAAACUUCUCAUUCAAGGGGAGGUUUCUUCAGUCUAUUACUGGCCAAGACAUCCAGAGUUAAAGGGACAGGAUAUCAAAGAAGACCUCAAAGAAGUUGACCGUUUGUUCCUAAGAAGUUCUGCAAAAAUCAGUGUUUUUCUGCCAUUCAUGAACAUUAUUAAUGGAAGUGAAUUAAUACAGAAGAUUACUGCUAGAACAAAUCGAUAUAUAUGCAAAGAGUGCAAGUUGGAAUAUAGUUGUGCUGUAAAAGAUAAGGAGCUUGAAAUCAUUGAAGAAACCUGUGGCCUGCUUAACUUGCAAAAUCUUGAGUUUUGUAGAAAUAAAAUGAAGGAUGCUUUAUGUUAUUAUACUGACUUAUUACAUUGUUCCCAUGGGACAUUUGAAGGAGCAGAAGGAACAAAAGAAGAAGAAAUGCUUCACGUGCUCCAGCUAUGUUUUAUUUUAGCAGCAAGAUCUGAAGCUGUCACCACAUGGACCAAGGGCAGGCAGGCAGUGGAUUUGGUCAUUGCUGUUGUGGGGCGGUGCCUGGUUACAAUCUGUGUUGGCAUGCAUCACUAGAUGGGUCAGAUGGGAGACACCUGACACUCAAACCCCAGUGGAAGCCCCCCCAAGCCCUGUCAGAGAUGAACAGCCAUCUGUGGAUGAACAGCCAUUUGUGGAUGAAACAAGAGAUGACACCGAAUAAUUCUGUUCAUUCAUCAAGUAAAGAGUCUGGGGAUGCUACAGCAAAGCUGAUGAUUGCUGUGGCAACAUCUGUCUUCAUGAGAAGCUAGAUAGCAAUAUCAUUCUUACUUAUAAUGUCAUGGAUAUUGAGGAAAAAAAUUACACCUUUCCUUUAGCCAUUUGACUAAACUCUGGCCUAGAAAUUAGUGGCUUACGUACUGCACAGCAGUGUUAAAAAUCUGUUGAAAGCAAUAACAGUUAAAAUGAUGGUUUUAUUCAGAAUUGCUUUAUUUAUUUUUUAAACAUUUCACCCAACAUAUUCCAGCGUAAAAAAUAGUUUGUUCGGCUAAUUUAAGUCGCAGGAUUGUGUAUGCAAUAUUUGGUAUCUGUAGGUAAUUGGGAAGUAUGAUUUUAUUUUGCAUAAACAAAUCCAAAAACAGAAUCCUCAAUAUAGAUAUAAGUAUAAUAUAUAUCAAUAUUAUAGUAUAUAGUAAAAUACCAAAGAAUAUUUAUAAAAUGAGAAUUAAGCUGAAGUGCAAUACUGUAUGAUAAAAGUGUGUUUAUGUGCAAGCAGGGAAUUGUUAAAGCAUCCCUGAUAGAUGGUCAUCCAAUCUCUGUUUGAAAACUGAUAAUCAGGAGAGUCCACUACUGUGUAAAGCAGACUAUUCAACAGGUCUUACAGUUAGGAAAUUCAUUGUAGAGGUGACCAUCUUAACAUGCAAAUUCCCUGCUUUUUGCAAUAGUGAAAAUUGUAAGCACCUUCUCUUAUCUUAAACCAAAGGGGUUUUAAACUUUAGAUAUAGAUAUAGAUAUAGAUGAUAUAGAUGUAAAUAUAGAUAUAGAUGAUAUAGAUAUAGAUAUAGCAGGGUAGUGCCUUCAGCAUUGUGGGGUCUGGUGCAAUAAUCCCCUGCUAACUGGGCCAAGAGGCACCAUUUAUAGUGCUAGCUGUGUUAUACUGUAUUUAGCAGGGGGAGAGCAGUUGGCCUCUUUCACUCCUAGCACAGCAUCCUUCCAGUGGGUAUUGCUGGUUACUACCUAAAAAAAAGAAAAGAAGAGAAAAGAAGAUUGUGAUCCCUUUGGAACAGGCAACUAUUUUCUUAGUAUUUUUAUUGAAAAGCAGAAUAUAAAUAAUCAUCAAUCACUGUCAGAAAAAGCUUCCUUAAAUCACAUACCAGAACUUAGUUCUGGUACUCCAUUGUGAACUAGCCUGACUUCAUGUUUGCCUUUCCUCUAUGUAUAUCCUUUGCCUCAUGAAACAGCCUGCUAAUUUAUCAAGAAACUCCUAUGUAAUCUGAUUGUUGAAAACAGCUGCAAGGGGAGAAUAGGCGAGACAUUAUGUAAAAUUGUUCAGCAGAAUCUGUGAGCAUCAAGUAAAUACCUUUCUAAUACUUGUGUCCAGUUGCCCACUGGAGUAUAAUGGCUGAGCUGAUUCUCAGACCUCAAAAGACCUGAUCCAUUUCCCCAACAUCCCGGCUGGAUAGUGCAUAAAUAAAUAGGUAGAUUCUUAAUUAACACACACUUUUCUGAGUUCUACUUGAUAUACCAGGAAAACACAAGUAUCUUCUUAUAUAAAGCUGAGAGAGCUUUUUUCUGUUGUUCCUGCUCCUGUAUUAGUUUAGAUUUACACAUAUGGUUAGAUUCUCAGCUGAGCCCAAGCUGCAUAGCUCCAGAGAGUAUGCAGACAGCUCUUCUGCCUGGAUGGGUGGAGGAAAGCUCCAUUCAUUAUGCAAGCUUUUAACUUCUGAACUUCAACCUAUUAACCCAAAUAUUUUAGCCUCCUGCUUAACACCAAGUAGGAAGAAAUGGUACCUUGUUUGUAUAUUUUGACUAUUUGCUUUGUUUGCCUGUAAACUCUCUUCCUUUUGUACUUGCCUAAAUAAACUAGAUUUUAAAUUACUUCAAACUUUGUGCUGGAAGUACUCACUUCCGCCUUUCCCAUGUUGCCUGCUCAGGCUUCAUGCUACUUGUAUUCUAUCCUUUAAGUUUUGUUG